CCCAACCAUCUCUGAAUUGAGACCAGAGAGCUGUCUCUAUGGAUAGUCCUUAGAGAAGGCAUUUCGGAACACAGUAAACAGCAGCCUGGUGACUCCGAUUACAGGGCCAGUUGCCUUUGUUACAAUAAAAGCAAGUCAUCUACACAGACAAACUGCGGCCUGGACCAGCUGGUGAAACAUAAUUCUGAAUCCUGCCCACAGCCUUCGGUGGUUUUGGAUGAAAGGCCAGCGCCUUGGGAGCCCUGCGUUUGAUUUCAAGUUUUAAGGCCGGCACUGGUGGAGCAAUGAAUGGUGAAAGCUCUCCCCUUAAAGGAGCACAGUUGCCUUUAGGUGACUGCUAACUCAGGCUUUUGCUGAGGACAGUGUUUACUUUGUGAGCUUAAUGACAGGGCUGGCUUUCUGGGAGUGUUGCAAUGAAACAGACUCAGACACAGGCCAUCAUGGGCCUCCUCCCUAGCAAGGCCGCCACGGCUGGCAUCUCAAGAGCAGUCCGUUGAACUUGGGAUUUGGGUGUGAGACACAGUUUCAUCAGAAGAAUUUAAACCAAAGUCUACAUUUGCCCUCUAGAUAAAUGUGUGUG
rnacentral:lncRNA from 10 species